rnacentral:misc_RNA from 1 species
UCUCCGUAGGUGAACCUGCGGAGGGAUCAUUACAGAGACUCUGCCCUUUGGGUAGACCUCCCACCCUGUGUCGUUAUACCUUCGUUGCUUUGGCGGGCCGCGGGGCCCCGGCCCCGCCCCUGGCUCCGGCUAGGGCGCGCCCGCCAGAGGACCUCAAAACCUGAAUGUUAGUGUCGUCUGAGUACUAUAUAAUAGUUAAAACUUUCAACAACGGAUCUCUUGGUUCUG